UUCCGAAUAACCGACUUAGAAAUC
rnacentral:miRNA from 1 species